GGAGCGGAAGCCGCGGCGAGAGGCUGGGAGCGGCGGCCGAGCGGCGGGCGACGGGGGCGGGGGACUCGCGCCGCGGCCGGGGCGGAGCCGGAGCCAUGGCGCCGCCGCUGCCGGGCUAGGGAGGGCCGGCGCCCCCGGGCCCGCGGCGAUGUCGGGCUACGCGCGCCGCCCGGGCGUCUCCCCGCUGUCCCGGGCCCGCAGCCUCGUCAUUCCGGACGCGGCCGCGUCCUCCGAGCGCCGGGCCGGGCUCCCCCAGCUCGACUGUGGGCGCCCCCGCGGCCGGGACCCGGACCCCCACCUCCUCGGCCUUCGGCCGGCGUUUAUGUGCUAUGUGCCCAGCCCGGUGCUGGCGUCCGUGGGAGACACAGAUUUUGUCCGCGGAAAGGGGAAGGGCACCAAGCCAGGAGCCCAGGAGGUACACUUUGGAGAUGAGAAGCUUGCGGACCUGGAAGAGGCAAACCCGUUCUCCUUUAAGGAGUUCCUGAAAACCAAGAACCUCAGCCUGCUGAAGGAGGACGCGGCCAACAGCCGGCUCCACGCGCAGGAAGCCACAAGGCACUCCCUGGGCCUCGACUGCAGCUCCCCGCCCCCCCAGCCCAUGGGCUUCGGCCUGGACUUCCAGCAGCCGUUUUUCGAAGACCCAACGGGGGCUGGCGACCUCCUGGACGAGGACGAGGACGAGGACGGGUGGAACGGCGCCUACUUGCCAUCCGCCGUGGAGCAGACGCACUCGAGGGUCUCGGCCAGCGCGUCGCCCUGCAGCACGUACAUCUCCUUCUUCAGCCCCUCGGAGCUGGCAGGGCCCGAGUCCCUGCCUCCGUGGACACUGAGCGACUCCGACUCCCGAGUCUCUCCCGUGGCGAGUCCCAGUGUAGACUUCGCCGCCCACGGAGAGUGUCUGGGGGACAGGCACCUUCGGUCGCUGCAGAUCAGCUACGAAGCACUGAAAGACGAGAACUCGAAGCUCAGGAGGAAGCUAACGGAGGUGCAGAGCUUCUCUGAGACGCAAACCGAGAUGGUCAGGACGCUGGAGCGGAAAUUGGAAGCAAAAAUGAUCAAGGAGGAGAGUGACUACCACGACCUGGAAUCCGUGGUCCAGCAGGUGGAGCAGAACCUGGAGCUGAUGACCAAACGUGCGGUAAAGGCAGAAAGUCACGUCAUGAAGCUGAAACAAGACAUAAGCUUGCUCCAGGUGGACAGCGCGUGGCUGCUCCCUGUUGACCAUAAAACCCCUUCACGGCCACGCCCCCACCCCAGGCGCAGGUCUCCAACUUCAAGAGGGAGAAUGAGGCCCUGCGCUCGGGCCAGGGCGCCAGCCUGACGGUGGUGAAGCAGAACACAGACGUGGCCCUGCAGAACCUGCGCAUGGUCAUGAGCAACGCGCACGCCUCCAUCAGGCAGCUGGUUUCCGGAGCCGAGACACUGAACCUUGUUGCUGAAAUCCUUAAAUCUAUAGACAGAAUCUCUGAAAUCAAGGAGGUCGGGGAGGAGGAGUCUUGAGAAGCUUCUAGCUCGCAACUCUGUUUACAGCCUGCAGUCUCCGCUCACGGGCUGUGAAAUGCCAUUGUGUCUUUGAAUACGCAGUCUCCCAGUAAAGCUGUUUAUCACGAGAUGCUAAUUCAGGACUGAGAACAGUGUUAUUAGCCUGCUGCAGCGAGGAGCGGCCGACUAGCGAGCGUCACUGAGGUUUCUGUCCAUGCAGCCCGUGCUCCUGGGCGAACCCCUGCAUUGAGACCAUGACCCACUGGAAGGCGUGUUUAUAAAAGCCACCCAUGUUUUAAGUGCUGAACAUGGAAACAGCAGUUCUGUGAUACGAGUCUUCCAUUCUUAUUACAGAACGUUCAUUCUAAGUUCGAUCGAUUGUCCUUGAUUUCCCACAUAAAGGAAACACUAAAUGAGCCGAAAUGGAAUGACUGCCUUGGACAGGGCUGCGUGCCUUGUUGCCUUUGCUCAGUGCCCCGGCUCAGCCCACCCUGCAGCCUUCCCAGGGCACCUGCGACUGGGGCCUGAGUGGGCAGCCGGGUGGUUGGAUGCUGCUGUCCUGCAGGGACCAAGGUGGGCACAGACUCUACACUGUGAAGCCGCUGGAACGCACCUCUUUAGGGGCCUGGGGUUUGAACAGUGUUGGAUGGAGGGUUCUGAUACAUGUUCCAAGCGGCCUUUGUACAAUGAAGUCGGAUCCAGAGGACGUGCAGAGCCUCCCGGUAGCAGAGGGCUGCUGCUGCUCCAGCCCUUCUGACGGGGGAGGCGUGACGUGCACUCAGUGCCUUGUGCUGUUUUCCUGCAGAUGUUAUUUUUUAAGAUAAAUGUUCCCUCCUGUUCAGAUUGACAGCUUUCUUAAUAAAUUCUAAAUGCACA